CUGCGCACCAAGGCGCGCGACAGGGUGCGAUCCCCGCGCGAGUCGGCUUUCCCUCUGAUCUCUGAGUGGCGCUCGGCUGAGCGCUUCUGCUCAGACGCGGGAAUCAGCCGUUGGAGUGUGGGGGCGUCUGCUGCCGGUGAACCGAAACAGGAGCAUCGGUGGAGCCGUUGAACCCGUGGAUCCCGUCAGCGCGAUGAGGGAUGGUGGCCUGAGCUCUGGUCUGACCAUGGACUGAGACAUCCUCGGCCCGAUCAGGAUGGAGUGGACGCUGUCCUCCCAGAACCAGUACUGGAGCGGUGAUGACAGACGAGAGAGUGCUGCAGGGCGACUCUGGGGCCAGGCCUGGAGCCCCCUAACCUCCCCCCCCCCCCAGGCAGCCAGCAGCCCUGAGAGCCAGCAGGCUCUGUUGGUGGAAUGUGGGGCAGAACAAGACGUGUUCCUAGAGAACAGAAACAUCGAGCAAGAUUGAAUGCAAGUCUGCUUUCGUCAUCCAGCCUUCCUUCAAACUGACACAGUGCUGACGGGCGGAGGGACAGGCCGAAGAGCGUCGGACCCAUGACAGGACGUGCCCGGGGUCGGAGAGGCACUGGACGUGUUCCUCCUGGCUCUCAGAUCUCUCGUGUCCCGAGGUGGAGCGCGGCUCUCCUGUACAGAUGCAGAGCCUGCGGGAGUUUGAACAGCACCAGCGGUCUAGCUCCACUGCCGUCUGCCGCAGGAGAGACAGGGGUCUGUCUCCACUGCCGUC
ensembl:lncRNA